UGAGCCAAGUUUAGGGUUUUCUCAAAACCCAAGCAGUAUUGAACUGAAGAGUUUGAUCAUGGCUCAGAUUGAACGCUGGCGGCAGGCCUAACACAUGCAAGUCGAGCGGAUGAAGGGAGCUUGCUCCUGGAUUCAGCGGCGGACGGGUGAGUAAUGCCUAGGAAUCUGCCUGGUAGUGGGGGAUAACGUCCGGAAACGGGC
rnacentral:rRNA from 1 species